rnacentral:rRNA from 1 species
AGAGUUUGAUCAUGGCUCAGGAUGAACGCUGGCGGCAUGCCUAAGACAUGCAAGUCGAACGAGAUGGCCUAUUGAAGAGCUUAUGCUUGCAUAAACCCGGAUAUAGAUUCCCAUCUAGUGGCAGACGGGUGAGUAACACGUGGGUAACCUACCUUUAAGCUGGGGAUAACAGUUGGAAACGAUUGCUAAUACCGAAUAAGAUAUAAGAGUUAAUCUUAUAUUGAAAGGAGCGAUUAUUCGCUUCACUUAGAAAUGGGCCUGCGGCGUAUUAACUAGUUGGUGAGAUAAUAGCCCACCAAGGUAACGAUGCGUAGCCGAACUGAGAGGUUGAUCGGCCACACUGGGACUGAGACACGGCCCAGACUCCUACGGGAGACAGCAGUUAGGAAUAUUCGUCAAUGGGGGAAACCCUGAACGAGCAAUGCCGCGUGAGUGAUGAAGGUCCUAUGGAUUGUAAAGCUCUGUUGUAUGGAAAAAAUGGCUAGAUUAGGAAAUGAAUUUAGUGUGAUGGUACCAUACCAGAAAGCUCCGGCUAACUACGUGCCAGCAGCCGCGGUAAUACGUAGGGAGCGAGCGUUAUCCGGAUUUAUUGGGCGUAAAGCGUGUGUAGGCGGUUAGUUAAGUUUAAGAUGAAAGCCUGGGGCUCAACUCCAGAUUGUCUUAGAAACUGGCUGGCUAGAGUGUGGUAGAGGUAAACGGAACUUCUAAUGUAGCGGUGAAAUGCGUAGAUAUUAGAAAGAACACCAGUGGCGAAAGCGGUUUACUGGGCCACAACUGACGCUGAGGCACGAAAGCGUGGG